CUACGUGCCAGCAGCCGCGGUAAUACGGAAGGUCCAGGCGUUAUCCGGAUUUAUUGGGUUUAAAGGGAGCGUAGGCGGAUUGUUAAGUCAGCGGUUAAAGGGUGUGGCUCAACCAUACAUUGCCGUUGAAACUGGCGAUCUUGAGUGCAGACAGGGAUGCCGGAAUUCGUGGUGUAGCGGUGAAAUGCUUAGAUAUCACGAAGAACUCCGAUCGCGAAGGCAGGUGUCCGGGCUGCAACUGACGCUGAGGCUCGAAAGUGUGGGUAUCAAACAGGAUUAGAUACCCUGGUAGUCCACACAGUAAACGAUGUAUACUCGCGGUUUGCGAUAGAGUGUAAGCCGCCAAGCGAAAGCAUUAAGUAUACCACCUGGGGAGUACGCCGGCAACGGUGAAACUCAAAGGAAUUGACGGGGGCCCGCACAAGCGGUGGAGCAUGUGGUUUAAUUCGAAGCAACGCGAAGAACCUUACCAGGUCUUGACAUCCCUCUGACCACUCUAGAGAUAGAGUUUUC
rnacentral:rRNA from 1 species